GAUGAACGCUGGCGGCGUGCCUAAUACAUGCAAGUCGAGCGAACGGACGAGAAGCUUGCUUCUCUGAUGUUAGCGGCGGACGGGUGAGUAACACGUGGAUAACCUACCUAUAAGACUGGGAUAACUUCGGGAAACCGGAGCUAAUACCGGAUAAUAUUUUGAACCGCAUGGUUCAAAAGUGAAAGACGGUCUUGCUGUCACUUAUAGAUGGAUCCGCGCUGCAUUAGCUAGUUGUUAAGGUAACGGCUUACCAAGGCAACGAUGCAUAGCCGACCUGAGAGGGUGCUCGCCCACACUGGAACUGAGACGCGGUCCUGACUCCGACGGGAGGCAGCAGUAGGGAAUCUUCCGCAAUGGGCGAAAGCCUGACGGAGCAACGCCGCGUGAGUGAUGAAGGUCUUCGGAUCGUAAAACUCUGUUAUUAGGGAAGAACAUAUGUGUAAGUAACUGUGCACAUCUUGACGGUACCUAAUCAGAAAGCCACGGCUAACUACGUG
rnacentral:rRNA from 1 species